ACUGGAGGUCGGUCGCCAUGGCAACUCCAUUCUUAACGAGACACGUGACCGCGGGCGGAUAGUGAAUGAGAACAGAAAAAGGCAGAAAAGCAAGGCGGAUCAAAGGCUAGGGGGCAUCGGAGUCACAGCCUGCGGUGAAGGUCCCGCGCAGCCCGCAGCCCGUGAUCUCCCGCCUGCUGAGUGAAGUCCAGCUGGGUCCCCCGAAGGGCAGAACUUUCCAGAAACUGGACCUGGCCACAGCGCGCACAGCGGUCACCUGCCCGAUCCGGCCAAACUUUCCGGCGCCCGUGAGCUCACAAUUGGGAUAGCAGGAACGGCGCCCACCCCAGCCUCGCCCAGAGUCGCGACAGGCUGUGCAGAUUUCCCGGCCAGCCCCGUGGGACGCGGGACCACCGAGAAGGUCGGAGGCUGGCUGGGAUCGCUGCUCCCAGACCCUUCCUCUUCCCCCACACGCCGCGGCCAGCGGAGAGACGUGCCUGACGGUGAUCGAGUUAAAGAAGGGCCAGCGCCAGGGAGAAAAGUGAAACUGCUCUCCCAGCCUCCAGUCCCCAGCCCCAGCCCAGCGUGGCCACAGCGCAGGGGGCAGUGGGGGCAGGCCCUGGGGACGCGGGGUGGGGGGCGGGCGGGUGGAAGCUGAGCGGCCGAGAAAAGCCUGUGCCCUGAUGCGAUUAGCGGAUCUCAAGGGAUCAGAGGCCAGGGGCCUCGCGCCCACUACUCUAGCGCUAAAGCCGGAGGCCCCGGCAGCGCCGAGACUGGGGCAUGAUCUUUUUCUUUUCUUUUUAAAAUUAUUUGUAAAACCUCCGUGUUCAUACGUAAAACGUGUGCGUUUUUAUGGGUGCAGUGCGAUAUUUCAAUACACACACACAGGGUAAACCGACCGUACCAGGCAAUUAGCCGUCCCAUUUCUUUUCCUUUCGGGUAGCACAAAGAAAAGAUAAGGUUGUGAUUUUAACUUUAAAAAUAAGCGACUGUUCACUCCUCAAAAUUUGAGUUCCAAUGCCUCGCGUCUUCCUCAACCGCCUGUCUCUGCUUCCCUGAGGCUGAGAAGGGUCCCCGGAGGCAGCCUCGCGUCCCCCACCCGCUGCAGCCCGGCGGACCCGCUGGGUCCAGACCAAGGCCACAGUUUCCCUGUGCGCUGGGCCGACCCCGGCGAGGGAAACAAGGCGGCGGCUGUGGUGCCUCUUUCUCAACUGGAGGCAGUGGAAGUGCGAGGUUCUGUCCUGUGAGCCCUGUGCAGUCUGAACACCCUCCAGGUCCCCAAUUGGGCAACCCAGCUCCUCCAGCCGCGCGCCCCGACGGCUCGGCGGGUCAGCCCAGCGCGACUGCGGAACGUGAGUGGAGGGGCGCGAGAUACGCUGCGGGGCACAAGCAGCCGCUUCUAGUCCUUUGGACUUCACUGUUGGGAGGGGGAGAGGGAGAGGUGGGCGUGAGGAAGCCGGGCAGGGAGUGGAGGUCGGAGCGCGCCCCUUGCUAGUGCCCCCAGUCGCGCCCGCCGAGACGCGGCCCGUUUCAGCACCGGGGCUGCGGACAGCGCCGCUCCCAAGCGCACCGCCACCUGCUGUGGACAGAGAGGUCUUUAAUCACCUCCUGCCCCUGCCCCGAGGCUGCGGCCCCCGCCCCAGCAAAUCACUGCUCCAGAGCCCCUCAGGUCCUUACCCGCCAAACUUUGAGCUUCUCCGCGGCGCGCCCCGGUCCGGCCGAGCAGCUCCUCUCUCCCCGUCUUGGUUCUGGGCAGCGGCUCCAGCCUUGCUCCCUCCCCCACACUCCCCGGCGCCGGACCCUCCUCUGGGGACAGCCGAAGGAACCCAGUGCCUCGCUCUGCCUGAGAAAGUCAGGUGAGACUCCCGAGAGAGGCAGAAGCCACUGGUUCACAUCCCCGUCGCCUCCAACGGAAGAGGGGGCGAGCCAGGAGCAAGACGGCAGCCAGGUCCGCCCGUCUGGACUCUCGCCUGACCGCAGGCGGCCCUUCCUGGAUGUUUUACCAGUAGCGUAAUCCACACUGGGAGAGAACGCACCACAGAGGUCUGAGAGUCUGAGGUUUAAAGGUGGGGAGAUACACGGAUGAAAGCGUUCUUAAGCCCGUUUACAAUCUUGGGGCGGAUUUUAGAAACGAGUCUCUCUUUGGGAUAUUGGGUAUUCUCCUUGAAGAGUUUUGUUUCCUUCUAUCAGACAACACCAGACGCCCUGAACUAAAAAUUCAAAUCACCAAUCUAGUUAGUAGUUUGUUUGUUUUUUUAUCCUUUAUGGCAGCUGGAGAACCUUAAAUUCUUUGGAUGAAAUAGCUUUAUUAAAACCUUGGGGCCUGUGCUGUGGCACAGUGGGUUAAUCCUCCACCUGCAGUGCUGGCAUCCCAUAUGGGCACCGGUUAGAGUUCCAGCAGCUCCACUUCCAAUCCAGCUCUCUGCUAUGGCCUGGGAAAGCAGUGGAAGAUGGCCCAAGUCCUUGGGCCCCUGCGCCUGUGUGGGAGACCCAGAAGAAGUUCCUGGCUCCUGGCUUCAGAUGGGUGCAGCUCCGGCCAUUGCAGCCAACUGGAGAGUGAACCAGAGGAUGGAAGACUCUCUCUCUCUGCCUCUCUUCUUUCUAUGUAACUUUUUUUUUUAUUUGACAGAGUUAGACAAUGAGAGAGAGAGAGAGAGAGAGAAAGGUCUUCCUUCCAUUGG